rnacentral:lncRNA from 1 species
UGUUCUAUGUGAAUAAGUAUUAUGAAGAAAGGCCAUAUUUUAUGGAUCUGACUUGUAGCAGACCGCUUCCUGGCUAUGGGCAAGGGGAAAACAGUAUGUGCAGAUUGCUCAGUCUUGGGCAUGCUCAGUAGUGCUCAUGGCUGGGAAGGCCCCUGACCCUUGACCCCAGCUUCUCCCAGGUUAGGCGGGAAAACAGGUUUCUUUGUUCUCACCUGGUUAAGAGAAACCACACCUGCGCCUUGUCAUUGACCAAUGAGAAUCAUCCCUAUGUACUGUGUAUAUUUGCAUAUCAAAAACUAUAUCUAGCCCAGCAGGCUCCGCCUUCUUUCUCUCUGCUCUCUGCCCUCUGCUCUCUGCUCGCUCCUUCUCUUUCAGGCUACCUGAUGGCUGUCCUUGCAGGAGCUUGGCCUCUGGCCGAGCUCCAUCUUUAAUCUUUCUCUAUUCACCUCUCUGACCUGCGUGGUAUGGAUCUCAGGACUGGAAUAGCCUACUGAAUUGGUCCUUUGAUCAGAGCUUAGCUGUGGCUCAUUGAUAAUUAAUAAAGACUCAUCCUGAACACCUCAUAUCUCUACUAGGACUCCGUCACUUCCCUCGUGGUAUCAAAACUUCUAUCCUGUCUCUAUCUUCCUACCUUGUGGCUUCUCUCACCUCAGAGAGAGCUACAGAUGGCGCCCAACUUUCUCGUGGCAUUCCACUCUUUUAUUUCACACAGCGAAUGGGAGAACGCGUUCGAGGACACGAGGCUAAUAGUAGGCGGGUGCCGGAGUUCCAGGAAGGUUGCCGAUCCUCUGGCCAAGGACGAUACAUGGAGUCCAUGGAAGAUGAUUAAGAGCAUCUGAUGGCAAGAAAAUCUGCCCGGAAGAAGGACAGAAGGCAGAGGUGUCUGGCACAGGACACCAGAAAAGCAGCACAUGGACUGUAAAGACUGCCCUAUAGGCAGGUUUAAUACACUACACACACACACAUGUAAUUGUAUGAGAAACAAUUUGACUACAGAAGAGUAUCAUUGAGUCACUAACAGAUAUUCUGUUCUAGGAAUAUAUGGGUAUUUGGUAAAAGAUCUAACUUUAUUACAUGCCUGACAAUUUUGAAUGGUAUUGGUACAAUGUGUAACUUGAAAUGAUAUUAUUGGAAUUGUUCCAUGUUAGCCAAAUUUGAUCAAAUAUCAAAAGGGUAUAAUUGGGAAUAUUAUGACAGUAUAAGGAAUGCUGUCCACUUGCAGCACAAAUGGGUAUUACUAUCCAAAAUGUAAUGAUGAUUAUUGUCUUAAAGGGUACAUUAUAUUUGCAAACAACAU